rnacentral:rRNA from 1 species
GGCUCAGAACGAACGCUGGCGGCAUGCCUAACACAUGCAAGUCGAACGAGACCUUCGGGUCUAGUGGCGCACGGGUGCGUAACGCGUGGGAAUCUGCCCUUGGGUUCGGAAUAACAGUUGGAAACGACUGCUAAUACCGGAUGAUGACGUAAGUCCAAAGAUUUAUCGCCCAGGGAUGAGCCCGCGUAGGAUUAGCUAGUUGGUGGGGUAAAGGCCUACCAAGGCGACGAUCCUUAGCUGGUCUGAGAGGAUGAUCAGCCACACUGGGACUGAGACACGGCCCAGACUCCUACGGGAGGCAGCAGUGGGGAAUAUUGGACAAUGGGCGAAAGCCUGAUCCAGCAAUGCCGCGUGAGUGAUGAAGGCCUUAGGGUUGUAAAGCUCUUUUACCCGGGAUGAUA